GUACAUGCCUACAACAUAGAGUUAAUGCACCUGACCCCAUUAGAACUUCACAGUUAACUGCGCUCAUGAUAUAGUAGUACUGGGAUGGGUGACCGCCCAUGAAUUCCUAGUGUUUUAUGUGCC
rnacentral:rRNA from 1 species